ensembl:lncRNA
AACAUACAACAUCAAUUUUUACCACACCAAACAUGACUACAACCAUCACUACCCCUUCCAUAACUACCUCAAUGAAAAGAACCUUGGCUACUACACCAAAGUCUGUUCCCUCAUCACCUUUUGCCUCAUCAACCACUGCUUCAACAGAGACCGAGCAAGCAGGGAUCACCUCACCACCCUUCAAGACCACCACCAAAAGGGAGAUGGCAACCUCCUCAAUACCUACUCAAACCAAAACUCGGAGCACAACUUUCAGCCAGCCUAAACUAACAACAGCAGGUAAAUAGCACUUUCUUAUAUCUGUCAAGUGAAGCCAUUGCUCAUAAGACAUAUGUCAAUAUACUCUUUAUAAAAAAAACCCCAAGCAUUCUUACUAGUGGUCUUAACAUUGCAAAUAGAAAGGAAAGGACAUGGAUAAGAAGUGUGAGUAAAAUGGAAAUUUGUCUUGCCAACAGAGCAAGCAUCUGACAUCCAAAUAUGAUGUUAAGCUAACAUUUCUCUUCCAACACUUCCUCCAAAUUUAGACUAAAUCUCUCUACACUUCAAAGCAAGUUCUUGAAAAUUCACAGACCACAGAAUAUAUAUUCCCCUACACUUUGUAAGAAAUGCUCCCCAAGAACAGUCUCCUCUGAGGCUGUAUGGCAACAUGUAUUACUACAUUAGCAACUGACAGGCUGGGACAGUUGUGGUGGGAAGGCAGCUGUACACUCUUUCCCAAAUCCGGGUCUCUCCCACAAACUACUGUUGGGGUGCAUAUAUCUAGGUCUCCUUGUGCAAGCAGCUACAGCUUCCUCUAGAACCUUACCAGCUCCCAACCAUUACUAAUAUUCAUUCUUUCCUCACAGAGAGUGAGGGAACCGAAGCAACCACUCUGCACUACCCAGAAGGUGAGUAAAAGGGACUAGAGAGAUGCCCUUGGCCUAAGACUCUGCUUCACUUAUCCCAGCUUUUCAGAUGAUGGUCCUCCCCAGUUUGGAAUACCUGGGAGGGGAAACGUGCAUCCAGUGAGGCUCUUCUUUCCUCAGGAGCUUCAGAAAAGGCAGGGAGCACAGAAUUUCAGAGGCACCCUUCAGACUCGUCCUCUAUCAACUUGUGCUUUUCUCUCUGUAGUUGUCACCCACAUAAGAACAACGUUGACACCGCCUGUGCAGCACCUUGUCACACAGACACAGACCACCCCUGCCACAUCCAUCAGCAGCACCUCUGUCCUGAGAGAGACCAGCCCUGCCACCAGGCCACAAGUUCCACUGACAAGGACAUUUCCAAGCUCCAGCUCUUCGCUUGUCACCUCAGCCUCGUCUGCUUCUUCCCUCUCCUCAACCCAGCUGGGAACAUCAUAUCCUGCUUACACCCGUGAACAGUCAACUGUACCACACAUUAGGACACCUGUGACCACACACAAGACCAGCACAGCCACCUCCAUCAGCAGCACCUCCAAGACCUCUGUCUCCACAGGGCCCAGCCCAGCAAGCAGCACAGGAGCCCCUCUGGAAACAACCUCUGCCCAUGCCAGCUCUCCACCUGCCCCCAGCAGCCCGCUCAGCACAAGGCUGCCAUCCACUGCCACCACUUCCACUGGCUCCUCCACAGCAGCUGCCAGCACCAGCCCCAGGCCUACACCUACAACCCUGAGGCCCAGGCCCUCUUCCCCAGCAACCCAAGCUGCAAAGGAGUCUCCUGUAACAGAGUCCUCUGCACCCACCACAGCUAAAACCAGCACGCUGCCACAACCUGCUUCUUCUCCCUCCUCAACUGUGUCCUCAACAUGGCUCAGCUCCUCACAGCCUGCCUUCACCCAUGAAGAGUCAGCUGUGCCACACACUGGGACACCUGUGACCACACACAAGACCAGCACAGCCACCUCCAUCAGCAGCACCUCCAAGACCUCUGUCUCCACAGGGCCCAGCCCAGCAAGCAGCACAGGAGCCCCUCUGGAAACAACCUCUGCCCAUGCCAGCUCUCCACCUGCCCCCAGCAGCCCGCUCAGCACAAGGCUGCCAUCCACUGCCACCACUUCCACUGGCUCCUCCACAGCAGCUGCCAGCACCAGCCCCAGGCCUACACCUACAACCCUGAGGCCCAGGCCCUCUUCCCCAGCAACCCAAGCUGCAAAGGAGUCUCCUGUAACAGAGUCCUCUACAGUCACCACAGCCAAAACCAGCACUCUGCCACAACCUGCUUCUUCUCCCUCCUCAACUGUGUCCUCAACAUGGCUCAGCUCCUCACAGCCUGUCUUCACCCAUGAAGAGUCAGCUGUGCCACACACUGGGACACCUGUGACCACACACAAGACCAGCACAGCCACCUCCAUCAGCAGCACCUCCAAGACCUCUGUCUCCACAGGGCCCAGCCCAGCAAGCAGCACAGGAGCCCCUCUGGAAACAACCUCUGCCCAUGCCAGCUCUCCACCUGCCCCCAGCAGCCCGCUCAGCACAAGGCUGCCAUCCACUGCCACCACUUCCACUGGCUCCUCCACAGCAGCUGCCAGCACCAGCCCCAGGCCUACACCUACAACCCUGAGGCCCAGGCCCUCUUCCCCAGCAACCCAAGCUGCAAAGGAGUCUCCUGUAACAGAGUCCUCUGCAUCCACCACAGCCAAAACCAGCACGCUGCCACAACCUGCUUCUUCUCCCUCCUCAACUGUGUCCUCAACAUGGCUCAGCUCCUCACAGCCUGGUAAGGCUCCCUCCCAAUUUUUCUGUUCUGCCCAGCUCCUCCUGUCUUCCUUCCCUCCCACCAUCAUUCCCUCCAUGAACCGUGCAGUACUUGUGGAUCUUUGCUUGCCCCACCAUUCCCAUUGCCUUUACUUGGCCCCGUUCCCCAGUGUAUUCCUGUGCCUGUGCACUGCCUCUGCUUCAGAUGGAGCUGAUUAUUGUUCCCUGCAGGUUUCCUAG